UACAGAGGGGGCAAGCGUUGUUCGGAAUUACUGGGCGUAAAGGGCGCGUAGGCGGCCUUCUAAGUCGAACGUGAAAUCCCUGGGCUCAACCCAGGAACUGCGUCCGAUACUGGAAGGCUUGAAUCCGGGAGAGGGAUGCGGAAUUCCAGGUGUAGCGGUGAAAUGCGUAGAUAUUGGGAGGAACACCGGUGGCGAAGGCGGCUACCUGGACCGGAUCUGACGCUGAUGCGCGAAAGCGUGGGGAGCAAACAGG
rnacentral:rRNA from 1 species